rnacentral:lncRNA from 1 species
AAAAAAAAACAUAUGGUAAUUUGUCAAUAAAAUAGGUAAAAUAUUAAUUACAGAACAGAAGAAUUUCAUAUCCGAGACAGAGAGAAUUAAAUAUUGUAAAGAGAUAAAGAAACUAAAAAGAAAAGAGCAAAAAAAUAAAAGUUACAAUAAAUAUAAAGAAAAAUACAACACAAGCCGAAUCAGAAUUCCGAAAAGUUCAUUUGCUUGCGUAUCUACCAGUAGCAAAUAUUUCAUACAUAUUCAAGACUUUGAAGUAUCCAUAUCGGUCAAAAAUGAUUACAAUCAAAACGAACAAAGUAUACUCGAUUACCGACGUAAAACGUCAAAGGAGUAGGUCCAGUAAGACCCCUUUUUGGCCCCAAAAUAUAGCAGUUUUACAAAAUUGUUAAAAUGUAUACUUUUAGUUAUUUGUUGGAGAGAAGAAUGCUUGUGCUACAUAAAAAUGCCAUUAUGGGCUGUUUUUGACAAUACGAUUUACAUAUAUCGAAUACGUGUAAAACGAAAGUGGCCGC